CUUCUCCCAUCCAUAACAAAA
rnacentral:miRNA from 1 species